AGUGAACGCUGGCGGCAGGCCUAAUACAUGCAAGUCGAACGGCAGCACAGCAGAGCUUGCUCUGUGGGUGGCGAGUGGCGGACGGGUGAGGAAUACAUGGGAAUCUGCCCAGUCGUGGGGGAUAACGUAUGGAAACGUACGCUAAUACCGCAUGCGCCCUACGGGGGAAAGUCGGGGACCGCAAGGCCUGACGCGAUUGGAUGAGCCCAUGUUCGAUUAGCUAGUUGGCGGGGUAAAGGCCCA
rnacentral:rRNA from 1 species